CCCGCUGAACUUAAGCAUAUCAAUAAGCGGAGGAAAAGAAACUAACAAGGAUUCCCCUAGUAACUGCGAGUGAAGCGGGAAAAGCUCAAAUUUGAAAUCUGGCGGCUCCGUCGCCCGAGUUGUAUUCUGGAGAAGCGUCUUCCGCGUCGGACCGUGUACAAGUGCCUUGGAACAGGACGUCAUAGAGGGUGAGAAUCCCGUCUUUGACACGGACCCCCGGUGCUCUGUGAUGCGCUCUCGAAGAGUCGAGUUGUUUGGGAAUGCAGCUCAAAACGGGUGGUAAAUUCCAUCUAAAGCUAAAUAUUGGCGAGAGACCGAUAGCGAACAAGUACCGUGAGGGAAAGAUGAAAAGCACUUUGGAAAGAGAGUAAAACAGUACGUGAAAUUGUUGAAAGGGAAACGCUUGAAGUCAGUCGCGUCUGCCGGAACUCAGCCUUGCUUCUGCUUGGUGCACUUUCCGGCCUGACGGGCCAGCAUCGGUUUCGAGCGGCGGACAAUGGCGAGGGGAAGGUGGCAGCUCCGGCUGUGUUAUAGCCCCCCGUCGCAAACGCCGCACGGGACCGAGGAAUCCGGCGCAAGCCUGGGAUGCUGGCGUAAUGGCUUUAAACGACCCGUCUUGAAACACGG
rnacentral:rRNA from 1 species